CUUUAAAUAAAAAAUAAAAAUCAUAAACCGUCACACUUCGUCACCUUGUAGAUUUAGUUUAUAAGAAUGAUGAGAUGUGCAUCAACUCAUCGGUCGUACG